rnacentral:rRNA from 1 species
ACUCCUACGGGGAGGCAGCAGUAGGGAAUCUUCCACAAUGGGCGCAAGCCUGAUGGAGCAACACCGCGUGAGUGAAGAAGGGUUUCGGCUCGUAAAGCUCUGUUGUUAAAGAAGAACACGUAUGAGAGUAACUGUUCAUACGUUGACGGUAUUUAACCAGAAAGUCACGGCUAACUACGUGCCAGCAGCCGCGGUAAUACGUAGGUGGCAAGCGUUAUCCGGAUUUAUUGGGCGUAAAGAGAGUGCAGGCGGUUUUCUAAGUUCUGAUGUGAAAGCCUUCGGCUUAACCGGGAGAAGUGCAUCGGAAACUGGAUAACUUGAGUGCAGAAGAGGGUAGUGGAACUCCAUGUGUAGCGGUGGAAUGCGUAGAUAUAUGGAAGAACACCAGUGGCGAAGGCGGCUACCUGGUCUGCAACUGACGCUGAGACUCGAAAGCAUGGGUAGCGAACAGGAUUAGAUACCCUGGUAGCUCGAUG